GAUGAACGCUAGCGGCAGGCCUAAUACAUGCAAGUCGAACGGUAAGGCCCUUUCGGGGUACACGAGUGGCGGACGGGUGAGUAACGCGUAGGAAUCUGCCUGUUAGUGGGGGACAACGUGGGGAAACUCACGCUAAUACCGCAUACGCCCUACGGGGGAAAGGAGGGGAUCUUCGGACCUUUCGCUAACAGAUGAGCCUGCGUUAGAUUAGCUAGUUGGUGGGGUAAAGGCCUACCAAGGCGACGAUCUAUAGCUGUUCUGAGAGGAAGAUCAGCCACACUGGGACUGAGACACGGCCCAGACUCCUACGGGAGGCAGCAGUGGGGGAAUAUUGGACAAUGGGCGCAAGCCUGAUCCAGCAAUACCGCGUGUGUGAAGAAGGCCCUAGGGUUGUAAAGCACUUUCAAUGGGGAGGAAAAAGAGUAGGCAAAUACCCUGCUUAUUGACAUUACCCACUACAAGAAGCACCGGCCUAACUCCGUGCCAGCAGCCGCGGUAAUGUC
rnacentral:rRNA from 1 species